CCCCCUGUAAAAACAAUGUUAGAAUUAACCAAAAUCCCUGCAAGGCUUGAAAACCUGCUCUUCCCUACUUAGACCCCUGGGUGGUUCUCACAGUUGUGGUGUGAGUCAAAGUAGCUCUCCCAGGCCAGGGCUGUUAUCUCUAAGCCGAACCUGCUUCUCCAUAUGACUAGUCUACCCCAAGAUCAACAAAAUGUCCUAGGACAUAGGCCUGGGAGUCUGCCUGGCUCUUAAUAUUCCUGCCUUAUAUACCUGAGUCAAGAAGCUCCAAAAGGUAGCAUUUUUAUAAAUUAUCAUUGGUCCAUUUUGUCAGAAUGUGAUCUCCUCAUCUCCCAUUUUCUAUAGCAGAAAUUGCUAAUAGAUCAUUGAGUCAUUCAUGCCAUGCAGCCUGGAUGCUGUUCCAGAAUCUGGCUGACCUCAUAAUCCAGGGAGGAGGGGGAAACUGUGAUCCACGCAUGGCUGGAAAUGAGAUGAACCCAUCUCCGCCACCACCAGAGGAACAAGUGUCUGUCAUGAAAUACCAAAUCUUGUAAACUUUGCUUACAGUGGGCUGGCGCUGUGGCAUAAUAUGGAUAGCCUAGCCAUAAAAUUAAGGCAGAAAUUGAGGAUCCUACCACUUCUAGAUGGCACAGCAUCUGCUGGGUACUGUUACACGGCUUCUCACAGACACCUGGGCUGCUUCAGUUGAGCACACUGCUCCCUCUGGGCUCCACAUAUUCUCCAGCUACUACAGCAAGCUCUGCCAAGGAGUGCACAUCCAUCAGGAAAUCAACAGACGUUUAUGGUGUCAAAAUGCUCAUUUGUUCACUUUAUAACCCAAAGGCCUGCUUCUGGUUUACUUCAAGAACCCCUAAAGGACUCCAGACUUUGCAUACUGUGAAUAAAUUCCUAUUCAGUCUUGCCUGUGAUGUUCCUCUUCUGAACCUUGCCAUUCUUACCUUUUCUAAGAUAACUUUCCUUUGACUUAUGUUCUCUUCAAGCUUAGUGUUAUUUCGUAUGUGCUUGGUUCAUCCCCUUGAGCAAAGAUCAGAUGUGAUAAGAUUAUUUUAACAGAUCAUUAGUUUAUCAUUUUGUAAAUUGUUUAACUGGAAGUAACAAGCCUAGAUUCUAUAAAACAUUCUGGCAACCUAGAAAUGCAAAACUAAAUCAAAGCAUGUUACGUUAAAUAAAAAUUAAUUUAAGUUACUUGGUGCAACCAGUCUUUAACAAUGUAUGUACACCUCUGUGUGUGAUGGGUGUCAUUGAUUUUUUAAAUGAUUUUUAUUAUUUUGCUUGAUGGAAGAUUAUUAAAACAAAGUCAGCAUUCAGUAACAACACUUGGCUUUUGAGAAGACUUUUUCCCUGAAUCAACUAGAUCAGCAGAACUACUGUACAAUUUGUAUUACACGUUAAGAAACUCCAAAUUCCAGUGCUGAGGAUUCCAUUCACUGAGGUGUAAUGCAAGUGUGUAGAUAUAGAAGAAAUCCACCACAUAGUGUAACUAUUUUCUCAGAAAUUGUAAGCCUAACAAGAUGGCCUAUGACUGGUCCCAGGCUGGUGGAAAAAGGGGAGAAAAUAGCUAUCAAAAGGGAAACAUGCACAAGCCAGCAUUAACUUGUCUAUGAGCCAACUAUUCUACAUUAAAGAGGGUCGAUAGAAGAUGCUUUAUGAGAGGACUUCAAUUGACUUUGAUUCAAUUUGAAAAUAACUCAUGGUAUUAACUUCUUACUAAGAAUUAUACCCUCAGGACAGAAGAGUGGAGAUUACAUUUAUUUCAUGGGCAAGUUUUUUUUUUUAAGAUUUUAUUUAUUUAUUUAUUUGAGAGGUAGAGUUACAGACAGUGAGAGGGAGAGACAGAGAGAAAGAUCUUCCUUCUGUUGGUUCACACCCCAAAUGGCCACAACAGUCGAAGUUGUGCUGAUCCGAAGCCAGGAGCCAGGUGCUUCUUCUUGGUCUCCCAUGCGGGUGCAGGGGCCAAGGACUUGGGCCAUCCUCCACUGCCUUCCCAGGCUACAGCAGAGAACGGGACUGGAGGACGAGCAACCGGGACUAGAACCAGUGUGCAUAUGGGAUGCUGGUGCCGCAGACCGAGGAUUAACCUACAGUGCCACGGUGCCGGCCUUUCAUGGGCAAUUUUUAAAACUAUAUAAUUUAACAAUGUAGAAUUGUUUAAUUUUUAAUAUUCAAAAUAACAAAGAAUGAAAUCAUAGUGUGUAUAGAUUUGCUAUGGAUGAAGGGUUUCCUUGCCUGUAUUCCUUAAAAUAUUAUUUUUGGGAGUUAUCACCAAAAAAAAAGAGGACAUCUGUAAUUGUAUCAUCAUAUAUUAAAAAGGCUGGGAGAGCAAAUGAUACCAAAAAAAAAAAGCCAUGAAAUGUCUAUGUGCUACUUUUUUCUACUUAAUGGUAGUGUCCCUAAAAUAUACAGUAUUUAUUUCAGUACCUAAGCUAUUUAAAUAUUCCAUUAAAAUAUUUGGAAGAAAAACACUAGCUCUAUAAUUUAGUACAAAAGUAACUAAUAAUAUAUGAAAAUUGGCAUAUCAAAAAUAAUUAUAGCAUGAGACAAUUGCUUAUUGGAGAUAAUAUUUUAAUAGUUACAUUAAAUGGCCAGAUUUUCUGCUUGCUAGGUCAAAUAAGAUGAGUCCAAUUAAUGUAACACUGUUAGUCUCUUAUACAAGUAAAGGCUUAUGUAUUUAAGAAGAUAUAGGAUGGAUAAUAAAGCAGGCACCAACCUAAGUGGAUCUAAGCACAUAGUAAAAGCUACGUUUUUCAUGGCAGGGGAAAAGAAGACAUUUUAUCAAUAGAAAAAAGGCUACAUAAUAGUUUAUAAAUUACAAGAGGGAAAACCCAAGGUCUAGGAAUGAAUUCUCUGUCCAGUAGUGAAAUGUGAAACAAAGAAAAUAAAAUUGUUAUCACCUCUCAGGGAGCAAUAACCAGUAAUUUAUCCCAAGAGCUCUAAAUAUUCAAAAUGUUCAACAGGGGCAGGGAACUAAAAGCAACACAGAGACAAGUGUAAUAGUUUCAGGGUAUCACAUUUUGUUUUACUGACUUUCCCAAAAGUUUCAAUGGAAAAUGAAUUGGUUGCUGAUACUGGGAACACUUAAGUAUGACUCUGGCUGAAACAGUUACACAAUGUGGGCUUCCAUUACAGGAGAUACAAGGAGUUUGAUUGUGUGACUCCAAACUCUCUUUUCCUCUAGUGCCCUAUGCUUCUCUUUUUCAUUAUUUCAGUGCCAGAGUUCUCAGUCCAAUUACGUGAAGAGGGAAGUACCAUCUCCUUGAAACUGGGUUGGACCAGCAGAUCUAGUCCAGAGAUGAAAUGGAAGAAACAUCACCUAUUGGUGCUGUGAUCACUGCAAGAAGGCCUUUGAAAACAUAUAGUGUCCCAAACUCAAUCUCAAGAGCAGUCAGAAGUGACCUUAUUUUAAGUGGCUAAUAGUCACACCUAUCAUUCUGUAGUUUAGAUUCAAGAGAGAUUUUUUAGAUCACAGCAAGAAAACUUAACCAAACGUUGAGAGUAAAGCCCUUGUUAUGGAGCACAUACAGUGCUUUACAAAACCAAAUGAUUGGCUGCCAUGACACCUUUUGUAUCUGAUCACAAAGUAAAGCUGUCAUCCAUAUUGCCAAUGUGUAAGCUAUUCACUUCCAACCAAAGCAAACUUGUUUGAAAAUGACUCUGAAAACUACCUUCUCAGGAUAUAUCAAUUUUCUCUUGCACAAUAAAGCAAAAUUACUUCAAAUUUACUAAAUAUGUUUUCAGGUCAGAGUCAAGAGAACUGAACAAAUAAGUUGUUAUUGUCCUUACAAUUUAUCUUGAGUGAAGCAACCUAGGUAAUCAUAAACAAGUAUUUUUUUGGUCUCAAUCCCAAAUGAAUAGUGAAACUCAAGAUAAAAACUGUGCUUUUACGUUCUUUCUUUCCUCCAACCCCUGACACAAUUCAACAUAUUUGAAAAGGCUUGAGUAAAUAGAUUGAAUGAAAACUACACACCUGUAAUACUCAUUGCCUCUGCUGGCCUUCAGUCCUUGUCCAGUUCUUAGGUGAGAGUUGCAGAUUUAACAGAACUCAUGCAAAAUGUCAGGGAGCUCAACAUUUUCCUCCUAGGCAUGACAGAUAGGCACUGAAUCACUGGAAUCUUUAUCCAAUCAUAAACAUCCUCUUUGAUAACCAACAAGUGCUCAGAGCUCCAAAGGUCAUUUUUUUUUCCUGCACAAAGGGCCUUGAUACUAGCUAAAGUUAAGGAAUUAGAGUCUGGCCAUUUCAAUUUAAGCAACUUCCUCUUAACCUGCUGAGAAAGAACUGGCAGAUGAAUUAUAAAUGAAUGAAUUUAACAUGAGUGUAUAUAUGAAUUAAUAAAGAAAGAAGCUAUUUAGAUCUUUUGAAAUUAUGAAAUGCGAGUAUUCAAUGCUUUUAGCUAAUCCUGCCCCUGUAUAAUAUAAACUAACAAUAUAAACCAAAAAGGACAUAUUCAUAUGUAAUUUUUGUCAUAUCCUGAUCACCCCACCCCAAAUAUUCAAUAGAUAUAUUUAUUAGGUAAACUAUUGAGAAAUUAUAGAAAUAUAAUAAUAUCAUUGAUUACAACUUUUAAAUAAAAUCUAAAUCUCUUAAAAUAUUUUCCACUCAAGCUAGAAAGUGCUAGAUCUCAACUUUUUAGAUAAAGAAAAAGUGUAUUUUUUAUACUUUCAUUCUCUUUCCAAUUUUGGCCAAAAAAAAGGAUGUAAUUUCUUUGACACAACCUCGUUAGAUGAAUAUCUAUGAGAAUUCUUUGUCAUUUCUCCUAGAAUCUGGGCAGCCAUGACUUACUUGUAAAUAUUAAACUGCAGAAGGUACUACACAUGACAUUCAAGAGCGAAUCAGAAAAGAUAAGGCAGCUUCUGUCUUUCUCACUGGUUUACUUGUGCUCAGAGCCUGGAGCACCCUGUGAGUGUGCUACUGCUACUACAUUAUACUGUGCUCAUUCCUGUGCUGGAGAGGUCUCAUGGAGGCACUUUGAUUAACUACUCAACGAAGUCUCCACUAAUGGCAGCAUCUCACAUUCAUGCGAGAGGCAUAUUGAGCAUCUAAUGAUUGCAGACUUAGUCGAUAUUUGACACUCCAGGUAAGAAUUGUAAAGAUGAGUCUUUCCCAAAUUCCUGACUGCCAAAAAAUCAUGAAAAGGGAAAACAUUUUAUUUGCAAAUUUUGGAGUAACUAUGGCUGUGGAAAGGCAGAUGAAGGAAGAAUGGAUUCAGCAUGCAGACAAGCCUGAUGUCUGUACAAGAAAAUAUCCGAAUACCAACCAAAGAAAGACAGAGGAUGAUGCUGUUAGAAGGUACAUUGCCAUUGAUAGAAGAGAAAGGAGUUCAGUCAGCCACUGAGAGGGGCUGGCACUGUGGCGCAGUCUGCUAAGCCUCUGCCUGGGAAAGCAGUGAAGACUGCUCAAGUGCUUGGGACCCUGCAUCCAUGCGGGAGACCCAGAAGCUCCUGGCUUCAGAUCAGCCCAGCUCUGGCCGCUGAAGCCAUUUGGGGAGUGAACCUGCAGAUAGAAGACCUUUUUCUCUGCUUCUCUCUCCCCCUCUCUCUUUGUAACUCUGCCUCUCAAAUAAGUAAAUAAAACCUUUAAAAAGGAUCUCUGAGAAUUUUAAAUCAUUAGCCUAGUGAGCCGUAGCGCCGGCCUAGGUAUUGAGCUUUUCAAAAAUUCUUUUUCUAUAUGUAUUGAAAUGUUUAUAAAUUUUUCUCAAUUAUUCUCUUAAAAUGGUGAAUUACUUUGAUUGAAUUUGAGUGCAAUCUGAUCUGUCAUUCCUGAAAUAAACUUCACUUCUUUAUCAUGUAUUGCUACUAUACACAUUGCUAGAAUAAACUUUCCAGUAUUUUGUAAGUUUUAAGUAUAUUUCCAUAGGAAUUGAUAAAAAUAGUGAUUUCUUUAGUUAAGCUCAAGUUAUUUCAUUAUCAAUUCUUUGAUUACAAAUAAUUCAGAGGAUUUUUUAAGAUAUUUUGCUAUUACUGCUUUUGAUUUAAUUUCACUGAAGUCAGAAAACACAUCCUACUAUAUUUAAGCCAUUUGAAAUUUUUUUGAGUUAUACUGUGGUGCAGUAAAUUGUCUAUCCUGGUAAGCAUGUGAGGUACAUUAGAAAAGAAUUUGCAUUCUGAAGUUGUUUGAAUGCUCUAUAAAUAGCAAUUGGACUAAGUUGGUUGAUACUGUUAUUGACAUCUUUUAUAAUCUUACUGCUUUUUAGCCUACUUUUCUGUCAGUUAUUGUAAGGAGUGCUUAGUCUCCGUCAGUAAUAGUGGAUUUGUCCAUUUCAGCUUGAUCUUUGUUUUAUUUAUUUUGGAACUUUGUUUUAUUUAUUUUGUUUUAUUUAUUUUUGUUAAGUACUAUGAAAUUCCAUUCCGUUAGGCCCAAAAUUUGGAGUCAUUCUGGACUAAUACCUUUUUCUCAUGUCAUGUAUCCAAACUGUUGAUUCAGUUUCUGCUAACCUCAAAUAUAUCUGGAGUUCAAUUAUUUUUCACCAUCUUUACUGCUACCACCAUGAUCUAAAUUACCAGUACCUCUCUCUUGAAUCACUGCAAAGUCCCCUGCUGGUCCCUUGAUUUCUUCCCUGACCAGCUUACCAUCCAUUCUUUUCACACUAAUUCAGUCCAUGGCAUUCCCCUGCUUAAAAUGCUCCAUUAAUUUUCCAUAUUUCUUAUAUAAAACCACAUUUCCUUACCAAUGACCCACAAAGCCCUACAUCAUCUGCCCCCAUGUACUUCCAACUUCAUCCUCUAUUACUCACUAAAUGGGAUCCAACGGCUCCCUUGCUAUUCCCAGUGUACCCCAAGCUCAAUCCUGCCUCAAGGCUUUUUCAUUUGAGUUUCUUCCCGUCCAAAAAAGCUCUAUUCCAACAUAUCAGCAUAGCUAUCUCUCUCUUCUCCUUCAGUCCUUUGCACACAUGUCAUUCUGUUUAAAAUUAUAGUACCUAUCUCUAUUCUCUUCUCUCCGUUAUUUUUCUUUCCAUUUCACCAUCUGAAAUAAUAUCUGUUACUUAUUUAUUUAUUAGUUAUCUCUUUCACCAGAAUGUAAGCACAAUGAAAAAAAUAUUUCUGUGGCAUUUGCCUUUGUAUGUUUCUCAGUGUUUAUCAGAGAGGACAAUUUUUGACACCUAACAGGCAUUCGAUAAUUGCUUGUUCAACAAACAGUUUUUUCUAACAGUGCAGUGGUUUUCAAUUCUGACUCCACAUAGAAUCCUCUUGGGUCCUUUCAAAAUGCAUUGAUUAGCAGACUGAACUUUUUAAGCUUGUGGUCAGGUUAUAAGGAAGGUUUAAAAUCUCCCCAGAUGACUCUGAUCUGUAUCGGGGGAUAGAUGAGGGCAGGUGGGCGGUGAGCCUACCAGUCUAACACAAUGCCUAGUCUCUGUGGGCUAUUCAGGAAAUGAAUUAAAUAUUGACCUGAAUGUGCACUCUAUCUACAAGUAUACUUCUUCUGAAAUAAUCUCAGCUUCAGUUUUUCUGUAAUAUACAACCAGUACCUCCCACAACUUCAAAGGAUUACAUAAGAAAAAUUAUAAAAUGCUUUGUAAACUAUGGGGCAAAAUGAGAAGGCCAUUGGUUUAUUUAACUGCUAUUGUAUUCUUGAGUGAAUUUGAGCUGCAUGUCAAGGAGACUAAGAUUCUACUCCUGGUUCCCUCAUUUCAAGGGUUAUGUGACAAUGGCCAAAUCAUUAAUUUCUUUGGGUCUGUUUUCUUCAUUAGAAAAAAAAAAUGAGAAAACUGGACUUAAAGCUCUUUUUUUUAAAAAAAUUAUUUAUUUAAAAGGGAGACAUUCAGAGACAGAUGUAUUUUCCAUCUGCUAGUUCUCUCCUCAAAUGGCUGCAGCAGCUGGGGCUGCGCUAGGCUGAAAUCAGGAGCCAGGAGCUUCUUCCGAGUCUCCCACAUGGGUGCAGAAGCCCAACUACUUGAGCCAUCUUCCACUGCUUUUCCCAGGAGCAUUCUUAGCAGGUAUCUGGGUGGGAAGUGGAGCAGCUGGGAUUCAAACCAGCACCCACAUGGGAUACUAGCAGUGCAGGUGGAGACUUAACCUUCUAUGCCGCAGUGCUGACCCUGAACUUGAAGCUCUAUAAGGCCUUGUCCAUUGGAUACUCUGUGAUCAUAUAGCAGUUGAAUAUUUCAGCACUAUUUGUAACUGCCUUUAUCUUGCUGGAUGAGAACUGAUUUAGAAUUUUCUGAUAGACACACAUAUUAGCAAGCUGAGAAGACAAAAAGCAGAGACAAGCAAGACACUUUAGCUCAUUUCCCCUAAAUAAUUUGCACGUAUUUUAUUUUAAAAUAUUUGUUACAAUGUAUUUUAUGAUAAAGACAUACAUUGCAGGCCGACGCUGCGGCUCAAUAGGCUAAUCCUCCGCCUUGCGGUGCUGGCACACCAGGUUCUAGUCCCGGUUGCCCCUCUUCCAGGCCAGCUCUCUGUUGUGCCCGGGAGUGCAGUGGAGGAUGGCCCAAGUCCUUGGGUCCUGCACCCCGUGGGAGACCAGGAGAAGCACCUGGCUCCUGCCUUCGGAUCAGUGCGGUGCGGCAGCUGCAGCGCGGCCAGCCAUGGCGGCCAUUGGAGGGUGAACCAACAGCAAAGGAAGACCUUUCUCUCUGUCUCUCUCUCUCACCGUCCACUCUGCCUGUCAAAAAAAAAAAAAAAAAAAAAAAAAAGACAUACAUUGCACUAUUUCAAUAACAAGUUAUCGUCAUUCUGCUUUCCUCUAGACGCACCAGAUUUGGCAAGAAAGCAGAGAAAAAAUGGCAAUAAAGAGGGAAGCAAAGUCUUCAUUUACAAACCUCCAGACUGACAUGUAUAGUGUUAGUAAAAUAUUAGUCACUAAUAUUUAAAUGUUUUUCAGUAUAAUUUUGCUGUGCUCUCCUUCUCUCUCAAAGUCAUCUAAAAACGUGUUCUUGUGCAUAAACUACAUCAAGUCUGUGUUCUGCCAAAUCUACAGUCAGCAUGAAGAAAGGGAUCCAAUUAGAAGCUAAUUAACAUUUGCUAUCAUUAAUUUCUAAGCCCACAAAUCCCAGGUGGGACUCAAUUUUAAUUAAUAAAGGUCAAAAAUUUUGACUACCAAUUGUUGUCAACAGAAUGCGUCCCUUGCCAUGACCUCAGUCUCUCAGUAAAAAUGCCAGACAGUACCGCAGCUAAUAGACUUUUCUCCUAGGACCCAGACACAUCUUCUUUCAGAAGCUGCUAUGCUUCACAAAUCUCAGUUAAAAAAUAAACUUGGCCUUUUUAAUCCAGAUUAUUAUUUUGCACAUUAAUUCUCAUUGAUUCUCUCAUUCGAUUUUGAAAGAUAUUAUAAUUUUUCAAAGCUGUUAAUUUUAAUCACCACCUUUCUAAACUCAAAUGUUCCAGGUGAUGAUGUAUAUGCCUUCCAAGCAUAUAAUACAUAUCUAUUUUCUUUCUUUUUUAAAGAUUUAUUUAUUUAUUUUGAAAGUCAGAGUUAAAUAGAGAGAAGUAGAGACAGAGGGAUCUUCCAUCUGUUGGUUCACUCACCAGAUGGCCACAUGGCCAGGGCUGAGCAGCUGAUGCCAGCAGCCAAGGACUUCAUCCAGGUCUUCCAUAUGUGUGGCAGGGGACCCAAGCAUUUGGACCAUCUUCUGCUGCUUUCCCCAGGCCAUCAGCAGAGAGAUGGAUAGGAAGUGGAGCAGACAGAACAUGAACCAGAAGCCAUAUGGGAUGUCAGUGUCACAGGUGGUGGCUUUAUCUCCAAGGCACAAUGUUGGCACAGUUGCAUUUCCAUAGUCUCCUAUUUCUUGAUUUUUCUGAUUUAAUUCUUUUAUUCGCAUGUGAAUCCAUUAGUCUUCAUAAUGUUCCUAUCAAACUUUUUUUAUUAUUUUAAAGAUUUUAUAUAUAUAUUUUAAAAAUUUAUUUUUUUCUUUUUCUCUUUUUUUCUUUUUUAUUUGACAGGCAGAAUUAGACAGUGAGAGAGAGAGACAGAGAGAAAGGUCUUCUUUCUGUUGGUUCACCCCCCAAAUGGCUGCCAUGGCUGGCGCGCUGCACCAAUCCAAAGCCAGGAGCCAGGUGCUUCCUCCUGAUCUCCCAUGUGGGUGCAGGGGCCCAAGCACUCAGGCCAUCCUCCAUUGCCUUCCCGGGCCACAGCAGAGAGCUGGACUGGAAAAGGAGCGACCGAGACUAGAACCCGGCGCCCAUAUGGGAUGCUGGCGCCGCAGGCAGAGGAUUACCAAGUGAGCCACAGUGCCGGCCCCGCGAUUUAUUAUUUAUUUGAAACAGAGAGAGAAGGGGAGAGAGAGAGAAAGAGAGAGGUGUCUUCCAUCCGAUGGUUCACUCCACAUUUGGCUGCCUCUGCCAAAGCUGUGCCAAUCAAAGCCAGGAGCCAGGAGCUUCUUCCAGGUCUCCCACAUGGGUACAGGGGCCCAAGGACUUGCGCCAUCAUUUACUGCUUUCCCAGGCCUUAGCAGAGCUGGGAUCAAAAGUGGAGCAGCCGGGAAUGGAAUUGGUGCCCCUAUAGGAUGCUGGCACUGCAGGUGGCAGUUUUGCCCACUACACCACAGCACCGGGCCCUAUAUAUUUAUUUUAAAGGGGGGGGGGAGAGAGAGAUUGGAGGGAGAGAGAUAAUCUUCUAUCCACUGAUUCAGUCCUCAAAUGCCUGCAGUGGUGCACAAUGGCUGGGCUGGGCCAGGCCAGGAGCUUCUUCUGAGUCUCCCAUGUGGGUGGAAGGGCCCCAGAACUUGGGCCAUCAUCUUCUGCUUUCUUAGGCCAUUAACAUGGAGCUGGACAACAAUAAAACAACCAAUCCAGCUUUGAAAUGGGAAAAGAACUUCAAUAGACAGUUCUCAAAAAAAGAAAUACAAAUAGUCAACAAAUAUAUGAAAAAAUGGAAAGCAUUACUAGUCAUGAAGGAAAUGUCAACUGAAACCAGAUGAGAUAUUGCCUCAUCCCUGUGAGAAUGUCUAAAAUCCAAAACAGAGAGUAACAAAUGCUAGGAAGCAUGUGGAGAAAGGGGAACACUUAUACACUGUUGGUGGGAGUGUAAAUUAAUAUAGUCAUUGUGGAAAACAAUGUGGAGAUUUCUUUAAAACCUAGAAAUAGACUUGUCAUUUGAUCCAGCAAGCCCACUACUGGGUAUAUACCCAAAAGACUUGAACACAGUGUAUCAAGGAGAUAGCUGCAUUACCACAUUCAUAGUAGUACUCUUCAUAGUACAGACAAAAUUUAGAAUCAGGAGUGGGUGCUAUGGCCCACCGGGUAAGGCCACCACCUGUGGUGCAGACAUCCCAUAUGAACUCCAUUUCCCAUCGAGGUUGCUGUUAAUGUGUGUGGGAAAACUAUUGAGGAUAGCCAAAGUGCUUGGGUCCCUGCACCCAUGUGGGAGACCCAGAAGAUGCUCCUAUCUCCUCCUGUUGUAUGGGUCCAGCUCAGAUUCUUGUGGCCAGCUGGGCUGUGAACUAGUGGAUGGAAGACCUCUUUCUCUGUUUCUCCCUCUAUCUCUGUGUAACUCUGCCUUUCAGGUAAAUAAGUAACUAUUUUAAAAUAAAUUGGAAUCAACCAAGUUGUCCAUCAUAAGAUGAAUGGAUAAAGAAAAUGCAUUAUAUAAUGGAAUAAUAUAUAUAAUAUAAUAUAUAAUGGAAUUAUAAUUAAUAAAGGAAUAUUAUUAAGCUAUAAGAAAACAAAAUGGACACAACUGGAGGACAUAAUGCUAAGUGGAAUAAGCCAGACCCAGAAAGACAAAUACCAAAUGUUCUCCCUUAUAUGCAGGAGCUAAAAUUUAAAAAACAACAAAAAAGGAGAAAAAAUAAAGAAAAAAAUGUCGGUGUGUAUCAAUAUUGCUGCAAAUAUAGUUUUGUGCAACAUUGAUUUAUACUUUUGUGAAACCAAUGGUUAAGAAUGCUGCACUGCUAUAGUUUUAAUGACCUGUGAUUAAUUUAAAAUUAACUGUAUAUGGGUUAAAUGGUCAUUUUUCUAUUCAAUUAUUGUUUAUAGCCAUUGUCCAUAUUCCCACUAAACUAGGGUCUUCCUGCUUAUUACUUGUUAAAUUUCUUAUUCAGGGAAAUACUGUAAAUUUAAAAUAUUUUAUCUCAAAAACCAAAAAAAAGAGGAAUGAAAAGGAGAAGUAAGAAGGGUGGGAGGGGGGCCAGUGCUGUGGCCUAGCAAGUAAAGCUACCACCUGUAGUGCCAGCUUCCCAUAUGGAGAGUGAAUCAGUAGAUGGAAGACCUCUCUCUCUCUCCCUCUCUCUCUCUCUCUCUCUGCCUCUCUGUAAUUCUGCCUUUCAAAUAAAUAAAUAAAUCUUAAAAAAUAGGGUGGGAGAGAGUGAGGGAGGGAAGAAGGGAAUAUCACUAUGUUCUUGGAAUUGUAUCUAAA